GUGUUCUCUUCGUAACACAUACACUAAAAUUGGAAUGAUCCAGAGAAGAUUAGCAGGGCCCCUGCAUAGGGAUGACACGCAAAUUUGUAAAGUGUUCCAUAUAUAU